GAUCCUGGCUCAGGACGAACGCUGGCGGCGUGCCUAAUACAUGCAAGUAGAACGCUGAAGAGAGGAGCUUGCUCUUCUUGGAUGAGUUGCGAACGGGUGAGUAACGCGUGAGGAACCUGCCUUGAAGAGGGGGACAACAGUUGGAAACGACUGCUAAUACCGCAUGACGCAUAGAGGUCGCAUGAUCUUUAUGCCAAAGAUUUAUCGCUUCAAGAUGGCCUCGCG
rnacentral:rRNA from 1 species